CUACCGGAGCCUUCCUGCAUUUGACAGCUCGGCAGCCUUUUCUUUUCACUCAAUAAUCUGAUCCGGGAAGACGUGCUUUUCGUCGCCCCGUUAAUUUGGUGAAAUGAGAGCUAAGUGGCGUAAGAAGCGUAUGCGGAGGCUGAAGCGUAAGCGCAGGAAGAUGCGUGCGAGAUCCAAGUAAACGCCCCCAGCUGAAACAACCGUUUCAUCGCUGUGCAACGGGUCUCAUAAACGUCCGGAGUAAAAAUGUGUCGGAACCGCCCCGGGGGGUUGCGGACAGCAUUUCCCGCAGAACGGAAAAUCGGAGGAACGCGCGAGCCAGCACAAUCCAUUCCCCGGGAGCAGCCUGUGUACGUGACGGAAGCCGUGUUCGGUGGUUAGCAAAAGAUGUAACAUCCAGAAACGAAACCCCCGAAUAAACGCCACGCCACACAGCUGUGCGUGAGGAAGUGAACGAAGCGCCUUCCGGGCGCUACGGCACAUCCGGAUGUACAACACUAAGCAAAA